AGAGUUUGAUCAUGGCUCAGGACGAACGCUGGCGGCGUGCCUAACACAUGCAAGUCGAGCGAAGCUUAAGCCUUCAGCUUGCUGUUGGCUUAAGACUUAGCGGCGAACGGGUGAGUAACGCGUGGGUGACCUACCCAGGAGACCGGGAUAACAGCUCGAAAGGGCUGCUAAUACCGGAUGACAUCCUGCUCUUUUGGGGGUAGGAUCAAAGCGUUAUGUAGCGCUUCUGGAUGGGCCCGCGUCCCAUUAGCUAGUUGGUGAGGUAACGGCUCACCAAGGCGACGAUGGGUAGCCGGUCUGAGAGGAUGGUCGGCCACACUGGGACUGAGAUACGGCCCAGACUCCUACGGGAGGCAGCAGUGGGGAAUUUUGCGCAAUGGGGGCAACCCUGACGCAGCGACGCCGCGUGGGUGAAGAAGGCCUUCGGGUUGUAAAGCCCUGUCUAGGGGGAAGAUAGUGACGGUACCCCUGGAGGAAGCCCCGGCUAACUACGUGCCAGCAGCCGCGGUAAUACGUAGGGGGCGAGCGUUGUCCGGAAUUACUGGGCGUAAAGGGCGUGUAGGCGGCCAAGCAAGUCAGCUGUGAAACACCCCGGCUCAACCGUGGUUCUGCAGUUGAAACUGCGUGGCUUGAGUGCAGGAGAGGAGGGUGGAAUUCCUGGUGUAGCGGUGAAAUGCGUAGAUAUCAGGAGGAACACCGGUGGCGAAGGCGACCUUCUGGCCUGUUACUGACGCUGAGGCGCGAAAGCUAGGGGAGCGAACAGGAUUAGAUACCCUGGUAGUCCUAGCCGUAAACGCUGGGUACUAGGUGUAGGCGGUUUAGAUACUGUCUGUGCCGCAGUUAACGCAUUAAGUACCCCGCCUGGGGAGUACGGUCGCAAGGCUGAAACUCAAAUGAAUUGACGG
rnacentral:rRNA from 1 species